GGACUACUGGGGUAUCUAAUCCUGUUUGCUCCCCACGCUUUCGUGUCUCAGCGUCAGUACUCGUCCAGUUGGCCGCCUUCGCCACAGGUAUUCCUCUCGAUAUCUACGAAUUUCACCUCUACACCGAGAAUUCUACCAACCUCUCCGGUACUCGAGCCACGCAGUUUCCGAUGCACUUCCUGAGUUGAGCCCAGGGAUUUCACAUCCGACUUACGCGGCCGCCUACACACGCUUUACGCCCAGUAAUUCCGAACAACGUUUGCACCCUCUGUCUUACCGCGGCUGCUGGCAC
rnacentral:rRNA from 1 species